rnacentral:tRNA from 1 species
UGGCUCAGAGGUUAAAGCAUCUGCCUGCAAUGCAGGAGACCCGGGUUUGAUCCCUGG